rnacentral:rRNA from 1 species
AGCAUAUCAAUAAGCGGAGGAAAAGAAACUAACAAGGAUUCCCCUAGUAACGGCGAGUGAAGCGGGAAGAGCUCAAAUUUAAAAUCUGGCAGUGUAUUCUGUCCGAGUUGUAGUCUAGAGAAGCAUCAUCCGUGCUGGACCG